AGCCGAGCCGCCGUCCCUGAGCAGGGUGGCGGCGUCCGCCCGCCCCGGGGGUGCCCGGCGGGGCGGGAGGCAGGCAGCCCGAGCCGCGGCGGGACGCGCGGGCAGCGCCGGGGAGGACGCGUCGCUCCUUCCGGAGCGGGCUGCUGCCUGCCCGCGGCGGCGGGAGGAGGGCCGCGAAAUGGCUGCCGGGAAGGGCGGCGGCGGCGGCGGGGCUGGGGCGGCGGAGUUGAUGGCUCGGCUUCGGCUUUGCGCGUGCAGCAGCAGCGGGGAGCCGAGAGCAGCGCUGCGGGCGUAAAGUCUGAGCAUUUCUCAGCUGAAGACCCCUUUGCUGAAAAUAAUAGAAAGGCUGUGUGCCCUGGAAUCUGCUGAGCACGUGACAGAAGAAAGAUGUAUCCCAAAGACAGGAACAGAAACAUGUCACCCAGUCAGCUCCUGAUGCUGUCAGUGGAAGAUGAACAAGGGGAUUAGAUGACUUCCGAAAUUGUCCUUCUGCUGUAAAGAAACACUUGAUGCUAUAAGCCAAAUGGAGAAUACAAGUUUGACUGAAGUGAGCAGGAGAUGAUUAUGUUAUUGUAUUUUAUGAAAUAACAAGGUCUGUGAAACAUGCCAUACUACUUAUUUCUCCUGUUUGUUAACCUACAAAGAUGGCCCUCUAUGCUUUUCCCCAAAAUAAGCUUUGAACAUGAUCUGUUCUUACAGUUUUAACAGUAGCUUUUGCACAACUCAGUGAGUCAAAAAUAGGACUUUCCUUAAUAAUCCAAAGGUUGUUUGCUCACAACACUAACAAUGGGAAUGUAUGAAGAACCAAACAGCCCCAAAGCUACAAAAGGGAAAUGCUAGAAGCAGCUCAAUUAAAAAUCAAGACCAUGCAAAAGAAAAAGAGCUCUCUCUCUCUCAGGAAUCCCAAAACAUCCUGGCAGGCAAUCUGAAGAAAGAAGAAUGAAAGACUCCAGUCAGUGAGUAGAUCCAGACUGAGUAGAACCGACACAAUUACUAGUUAUGGCCUUGCUAUCUAACUGCCUAAUUCCAGUAAUGAUCAUGAGGGAUAAAAGUCUCACCAAAUGGAGCAAGGGGUUGAGUGUUUUCUUCCUGUUUUUAUCUGCUGGGGGCAGCACAGCAGAUUCUGGAAACAGUGCUAUGACUAGUUUCCUCAAAAUAAGCCUAAGUUUACCAUCCAUACCUAUGAUGCACUUAAAGAGCUGUUUUUCAGAAAUUGUUUUGUGUCUUGGUAAACUCUAUAUUGUUGCAUUAUGAGACGGGGCAAAGAAAGUAAGAUUUAUCUGAACUUCUGCUCAUCACUUAUCAGCAAUGAAAUUUACAAAAGUAAUAAACUAUAGAGAAAUCACAUCUUUAUUCUAGCCAAUGCAGCCCUAGUUGUUAUCGUAGGAUGUCCUUCUAGAUCUGGAUGGGACAUUUGUGUCUCUAGAUGAGAGACAUUCAUGUCCUUCUUAAGUUAGGCCAGUGACCAUAGUUGGGGGACUUGUCUAACCUGAAACACUCAAGAAAAUUAAUCUGAGUUAAUUAAAAAAUAUAAAUCAAAAAUGAACUA